AGAGGAAGGGAGCUUUCUGGCUUGUGAUUGGCCUGGUACAACUUGCACCCCCAUGGGAAAACAAUCCAGAUCUCUCUCCAACUGGUGGUAAGAGAGGUAACAAUGUCAUCUUGGCCCGUGAAAAAGAACCAGUCUGGAAAAUGCUAGUCCAAGUCCCUCUCCAGAAUUGAGCCCUCUAGUGAGUCACAGUGCCCUGUUAGAGGGUAGGGAAGCUGAUGCUGCUUCAGCGCAGGGAUUUCCUGCUCCAGGCCUCUAACCAGAGUUCAAGCAGAACCAAAUUCUUUUCUCUGGAUGGAAGACAAAUUCCUUGGAAUAAGGGUGGCACCAACAGAGUUUAGGGCGAAGUUCCCCAUUGCUUACCUUGGAACGGCUGAGGGGGAUUCCUGGUGUCUGGUGGGGCAGUGGCUGGCUGGUCCUUCCCCUGCAUGUCUACAUACUCCGCUAUGGGCCUGAGGAGCCCCAGAGCUCCAGAACAUUGCAGUGAUGACUUGAUGAGGCACAAGGAACCAGAAUUUUGCCCUCCCGGCCUUUGCCUCCCCAGCCUAGAGCAGGAAGGACCAUGAAGGAACUCUGCGUUCCAGCCUUACUUGCAGUAAUCGAGGACGAGAGAACGCAAACUGCUGAACUGCAGAGCUGUCCCAAGUCUCCCCAGAGACCACGCAUCCAUCCUGCAAUCCAUGAGUUUGAGGGUGGUAAAUGGGCAGGCGCGCCCCUUCGAUUCCAGAAGCGAAGCCUGAGAACACAAGCAUCCAGUCUAGGACUGCCUCCCACCUCAUCCUCCUGAGAAUCACCUAUGAGAAUCCUGUGAGAAGUUCCUCCCAGUUCCAUCUCCUGAGGCUCCGGGGCCAUCCUCUUGUGCAGCAGCAAGCCCAAUAAACGGAACAUCGUUUUUCUCUAACUGCAGCACUGACUGGAAGGAUAAGAAAAGGACCGUGGACCCUGAGAUAGCCGCCGCCACCACCUUCCCAGGCCCACGUCCCCCAGCCGAGUUCUUGGGAAGCUCCCCUCUCCUGUUUGCUCUCUCUGACCAUCUUUCAGUCCUGACCAGGUCCAUGUGGAAAAAAAGAGGCAAAAUCUUCACUGAGGAAGCAGUGAGACCCUUGCAUCAGGCAGGGAAAGAGGGAGUUUCUUCUUGAGGCCAGAUUCUCCGAGUAAUAGUCAAGCAUUGAAGGGGGAAAAUACCCAGAAACCUAACAGAUCUGCCACCUUGAAGAUCUCAGAUCAAGAGCAGUAGACCAGAAGGGCCAGGCUGAAUGGAAAUUCACUUCUUUAACUUCAAGGAGAAUCUCAUUAUUACUACACUAUCUGCGGCAAAAUAUCAGACACUUCUUUUAGUAGCUGUUAAUAAACAGGGCAAAGUUAUAACA